rnacentral:SRP_RNA from 1 species
GCCGGGCUUGGUAGCGCGCACCUGUAAUCCCAGCUACUCAGGAGGCUGAGGCAGGAGAAUUGCUUGAGCCCAGGAGGUGGAGGUUGCAGUGAGCCGAGAUUGUGCCACUGCACUCCAGCCUGGGCAACAAAACAAGACUCUGUCUCAA